GGCGAACGGGUGAGUAACACGUGGGUGAUCUGCCUCGCACUCUGGGAUAAGCUUGGGAAACUGGGUCUAAUACCGGAUAGGACCAUGCUUUAGUGUGUGUGGUGGAAAGUUUUUCGGUGCAAGAUGAGCCCGCGGCCUAUCAGCUUGUUGGUGGGGUAAUGGCCUACCAAGGCGACGACGGAUAGCCGGCCUGAGAGGGUGUACGGCCACAUUGGGACUGAGACACGGCCCAG
rnacentral:rRNA from 1 species